AUUGAACGCUGGCGGCAUGCUUUACACAUGCAAGUCGAACGGCAGCACGGGGGCAACCCUGGUGGCGAGUGGCGAACGGGUGAGUAACACAUCGGAACGUGUCCUAUGGUGGGGGAUAACCUGGCGAAAGCCAGGCUAAUACCGCAUAAGCUCGGAAGAGGAAAGCAGGGGAUCGCAAGACCUUGCGCCGAAGGAGCGGCCGAUGUCCGAUUAGCUAGUAGGUAGGGUAAAGGCCUACCUAGGCGACGAUCGGUAGCUGGUCUGAGAGGAUGAUCAGCCACACUGGGACUGAGACACGGCCCAGACUCCUACGGGAGGCAGCAGUGGGGAAUUUUGGACAAUGGGGGCAACCCUGAUCCAGCCAUGCCGCGUGAGUGAAGAAGGCCUUCGGGAUGUAAAGCUCUUUCGGUGGGAACGAAAUGGUUACGGAUAACACCCGUGACUGAUGACGGUACUCACAGAAGAAGCACCGGCUAACUACGUGCCAGCCGCCGCCGUAACAC
rnacentral:rRNA from 1 species